UGCAAGAAGUUUUGAAACGUGUCCCAGUGGCAACUAGAUAUUCUUGCUCUCCGGCUCUCUGCCGUCAUCCAUCUGCCUUGCAAAUUCACAACUCCGGGAACUUUCCUGAUAGUUCAGGCUUCUUAUUCCAAAACUCAAGUCCAAACUUGAGAAAACGACAGAGAGAGAGAGAGCAGGGGAGGGGCAGAGAGAAGGAAAGACAGAAUGCCAAGCCGGCUCCGCACCGCCAGUGCUGUUUGUGAGAAGAAUGGGGAAAAGAGCAAUCCUGGCAGGGAAGCCAGCUUGGUGACAGGUGCUAUCCUCUUGCUGGAGACAGAGGAGUGAACACGUGUCUGUUCUCAAGAAGCUCCCAUUCCCAUGGGGGAGACACACGCUAAGUAAGGAAGAGGAUCUUAGCAUGUAAAAUGAUAACAAAUGCUAUGAAAAAGGACACUGCAGGAUGGGAAAUACAGAAUGAUGGUGGUGUGAAUGGGCAACUUCUAUAGAAAAAUCCACCUUCAGGAAGAGUAUUCGUGGGUCACAGUGAUGCUUUCUUCCAUGACCUUGGAAAGUUUGGCCAUGCAGAGCAUGAGCUAUGGAGCUGGAGUACCUGGGCUUAAAACCAGGCAUUUCUAGCCCUGGCCUCACCGGCCGCAUGACUUGAGGCCUGACACUUAGUAGAGAGGAAAAUAUACAAAUGGCCAAUAAGCACAUGAGCACAUCAUUUGUCAUCAGGGAAAUGAAAAUCCAAACCACAAUGAGAUAGCACAUCACACCUACUCGUACAGCUAGCAAAAGAUGGGAUAAUAACAAGCCUUCAUGAGGAUCUGGAAAAAUUGGAGCCUUCCUACACUGCUGAUGGGAUAUAAAAUGGCAAAGCUGUUCUGGAAAAUCAUCUGACAGGUUGCUUCCUUCAAGUGGCUCCAGCUGUGGCAACAGUGGGCCGAAUAUAUAGAGGGGAGGGAGCGAGGUGCCUCAGAUCGGCUGUGUCCACCUGUGCCCGUGGGUGAACCAGGUCACGUCCUCUUGAUGACCUCCUCCGACAUGAAGACAUCCCAUUAAUUCUUUGAGAAAGUAGGAUCUUCAUUUUGAAGAUGAUAAAGCAGGAUGCUGAUAAACUUCCUGCCUGCUAAUCUCCAUCUCAGAGUCUGCUUCCUGGGGACCCUAACCAGAGAUACCACUCAGACCUCAAAUCAGAGAUCUCCAACAUUAGGGCCUGGCAAUCUAUGGAAACAACAAUGAAGAAAUCUCCACUUACUCAUCCAACAAUUAUUUAGCUUGGUCAUGCGUCUACACUCAGAACUGCCACUGCACAUGUACAAGCUAUCUGUCAUUUCUGAGGGACUCAGUGUGUCCUCGAAGCUGUGACUUUUAGAAGUCUGAGGAAACAAGUCUUACACAGAAGAUACAGAUAAUCUGAUAAACAGGCACCAGAAGAUGAGUUUAUAGUUUAAGUCCCCUUGUUAUAAAACGAAACCAUGUCUUUUCUUCAGAGAUGACGGGAGGGAAUGAAGUCACGUGGGCUUCUCCAGAAGGCAGACCUGGGUUCAAAUUGCAGCUCCCACUGACUGGCUGUGCCACUGGGCCAAGUUCCUUUCCCUCCCGGAGCCUCACUUUCUUCACUCACUCACUGCUUCAUUUACCGAAGCACUAUUAUUUGGGUAUCCACUAUGUAGUAGUGGCUGGGGAGGCAAGGAUGAGUGAGCACAAACACAGUCCCUUACAGACAACAAUGUCUGUUCCAUAGGUGUUGGUGUGUGAAUUCAAUGGGGUCAUUCAAAUAAAGGGUCGGGCACAGAACAUAUUGGUAUUGUUAUUAAUAACCUUAAAUUAAAUGUGAUUCAGAUGCCCAAUUAGAGCAGCCAGACUAGGAACUUGGUCUUAUUUGUUGAAGAUCUCCAGCUUUAUGAGGAGAACUUGCAGUUCUUAUGCUGCACUGUUCCUUCUGGCCUACAGCAAUCCCACCACCACCUCAUUCAGCUUGGUUAACUCUGUGUGUCUGAGCAAAUCAUUAGCAAAAAGAAGGAAGGGGUCUGGAGAUACCCUCCCCACUUAUUCUGGAUUCCCCUCAGCGCAUUCUAGGAGAGCUUUCAUUCUUCCAAAAUUACUGAGUAUCUUUCGUACAUCGGAUGAGAUACUAAAUGCAGAAUAAACAAAACAAACAGAUUGUAGUCUUUGUCCUUGAGAAGCCAAGAAUAUUCCAAACCCACAUUCUAAAAAUGGACCAGACCCCAGAGUAUCCACGAGUAUACUAAGAAGAGUGUUCUUGAAUUAAUGUUCAGGAUGGUGUUUGGAAAAACCUGGGUCUCAUAAUUUUUAUAAAUUCAAAUGCAGCUCAGUGUCACUUGGGGAUAGAAUUUUCCUCGAUGUCUUAACCAUCUGCUAACCAACUUUCUGCCUCCGUUUGUAUUCACUUUUAUUUCAGCCGGACAUCUCUUAACAGCCUGAGAAGGAAAUGUUUCUCAGCUAUAAAGAACUUGGAAUGUGUUUUUCAAAAGUACAUUUUUCAACAUUCAAGGAAUUUCAAGAAAUGUACCAUUUGCCUAAGGGCAGGUGAUUUAAAAGAUCUCUCUUGUGAUGGCUUCAAAUAAGUUGGUGAUUGGAAAGCUGAUGCAUGAAUAUAAGGCAUUAUUAUUCCACACUGAUGCUUCAGAGGAGGGAACUAGUUAGGGGAAUAUUUUCCUCCCUAACAUUUCAUCCCUGCUGAAAUAAGUCAAAAUACCCAACGUUCUUUGUAUUCAGAGGUGACACCGGUACCAGCAUGACUCUCAGCUGCUGUCAAUUCCGGGCUUCUGGAAGCAAUGUCACGGUGCUUUAACUUGCUUUUCAGUUUGCUCAGCAUGUCUUUGAAGCAUCGCCUCUAUUCGUCUCUUCCACAGCUCACUGUUCAGCCAAAUUGCACUAUUUCAGCAGGAACUCAACUAAAUACUUAAAAGCUAGUGGGCAAGCCUCCUCCUUGUUGAGGAUUUAUGCCCGUGUUUUUCAAACGGGGAUCCUCAGGCAAACAGCAGCCACAUCGCCUGGGGCGCUUGUUACAUUACACCUCCUGGACCUCAUCCCCAGACCAACACCUUCAGAAACUCAGAGUGGGAGAUCAGCGGAACGUAAGGAAGAUGUUCUUUCUGGCAAGUGCUUCUCCAACUGGCAAUCAAGUCACCCAGACUCUUUUCAUCUUGUGACUCUGCCACUUUGAUGGUUAAUUUUGUGUGUCAACUGGACCUGGCUGGAGUGGCCAGAUAUUUGUUCUGUUUCUCUGGAGAACCUUGACGAAUACAGCCACCUUCCACAAUGUAUUUGCUGUUCCGACUCUCCAGUGGCUGGAGGCAGAGGGAUGGGAAGCCACAGCUGCUUCUUCGAGCUUGGACGAGGAGAUGGCAUGUUCAAGUUCACUGACAUUCCAUCCACUACAACUCAGACAUAUGGCCACACCCAACUGCAACACGGGCUGAAAAAAGGUCUGGAGUGGAGCCCGAAUUCCAUACUUCCAAUAAGCUCCAGGUGAUGCUGCCUCCAGCCCACAGACAACACUUGAGUAGCAAAGGUGGAGGAUAUUAUGAAUUGCUACCUUCCACACUCAAUAAGCACUUAUCAACUUACUUAUUUUGAAGCAUAUUUAGAUUAAUAAUUAUUUUACCUAACCUAGUAAUUACGAUGUGCCUCCAAUUUCCUAAGUGCACUUCUAUCUGGAUAGCAUAUCAUAUCCUUCACCUGCCCCCACCUUUUAUUGGCUCCACAUUAUCAGCAAGCUUUUGCCACAUUAAUACACCAGCCCAAAAUUCAGUAGCUUAAAACAACAACCAUUUCUUUUGCUCACAGUCCUGUGGGUUAUAAUUUGGGUUGGGCCCGGCUGAGGAUUCUUUGGCUGGUCUUGACUGGGCUCACUCUUGCAUCUAUGGCCAGCAGCAGGGCACUCGGUUGGUGUCCCCGACAGUGCUGUUGACUGGGGCAGUGGAGAGGACUGGGCCACGUUUCUUAUCAUCAUCCAACUGGAUAGGGCAGGCUCGUUCACAUGGUGGCAGAGAGAUUUCACGUGCAGCAUCAGGGUAAGCCCAAAUGUGCUUUUCAUGCCUCUACCUGAAUCACAUUUGUUACCAUCCAUCUCACUGGUCAAAGCAAGUUGCAUGACCAAAUUCAGCAUCCGUGUGCCAGAGUUACCUAGGGUGUGGUUGCUGGGAGGCAGAAGCAUUUGUAGCUGCUUUUGCAAUCCAACUAUUCAAGCUCAAAUUGGCCUUUAGGCUUUCCCCAGAAAGGCCUAUCAGGCUUGUUUUUAUCCCUACGCUAUUGCUUUUUCUCUUCCCUUCUCCUGGAACACUCUAUUUUUGGACAGAGCCUUAGUCCACUUUGAAAUGUUACCUCCUACUUAAGCUUGAUGUCUAAAUUGAAUGGGGCCGUCAAUCAUACAGCACAUCUCAUUCAGACUAUUACAGUUACCUAUACAUAGAUGGUAUU